UCCAUCAACACACAGACCCAGAAGACCCCUCGGUCUGCCCUGCUCCUGCCAUGAGUGUGGGCCUCCUGUGCUCAGUGGCCUUUUGUCUCCUGCAGGCAGGUCCAGUGAAUGCUGGCAUCACUCAAACCCCUAAAUUCCAGGUCCUGAGGACAGGAGAGAACAUGACACUGAGAUGUGCCCAAGAUAUGAGCCACAGGUCUAUGUACUGGUAUCGACAAGACCAGGGACAUGGGCUGAGGUUGAGCCACUACUCAGAUGCUGCUGAUUCCACUGAAAAAGGAGAUGUUCCCGAAGGGUACAAUGUCUCAAGACCAAAUACAAAGAACUUCCUUCUCGAGCUGGAGUCUGCUAUCCCCUCCCAGACAUCUGUGUACUUCUGUGCCAGCAGUUACUCCACAGUGCUGCACAGCUGA